rnacentral:rRNA from 1 species
AUUGAACGCUGGCGGCAUGCCUUACACAUGCAAGUCGAACGGUAACAGGUCUUCGGAUGCUGACGAGUGGCGAACGGGUGAGUAAUACAUCGGAACGUGCCUAGUAGUGGGGGAUAACUACUCGAAAGAGUGGCUAAUACCGCAUGAGAUCUACGGAUGAAAGCAGGGGAUAGCAAGACCUUGUGCUACUCGAGCGGCCGAUGGCAGAUUAGGUAGUUGGUGGGAUAAAAGCUUACCAAGCCGACGAUCUGUAGCUGGUCUGAGAGGACGAUCAGCCACACUGGGACUGAGACACGGCCCAGACUCCUACGGGAGGCAGCAGUGGGGAAUUUUGGACAAUGGGCGAAAGCCUGAUCCAGCAAUGCCGCGUGCAGGAUGAAGGCCUUCGGGUUGUAAACCGCUUUUGUACGGAACGAAAAGCCCCGGGUUAAUACCCUGGGGUCAUGACGGUACCGUAAGAAUAAGCACCGGCUAACUACGUGCCAGCCGCCGCAGUAA